rnacentral:rRNA from 1 species
ACUCCUACGGGAGGCAGCAGUAGGGAAUCUUCCACAAUGGACGAAAGUCUGAUGGAGCAACGCCGCGUGAGUGAAGAAGGGUUUCGGCUCGUAAAACUCUGUUGUUAAAGAAGAACAUAUCUGAGAGUAACUGUUCAGGUAUUGACGGUAUUUAACCAGAAAGCCACGGCUAACUACGUGCCAGCAGCCGCGGUAAUACGUAGGUGGCAAGCGUUGUCCGGAUUUAUUGGGGCGUAAAGCGAGCGCAGGCGGUUUUUAAGUCUGAUGUGAAAGCCUUCGGCUCAACCGAAGAAGUGCAUCGGAAACUGGGAAACUUGAGUGCAGAAGAGGACAGUGGAACUCCAUGUGUAGCGGUGAAAUGCGUAGAUAUAUGGAAAAACACCAGUGGCGAAGGCGGCUGUCUGGUCUGUAACUGACGCUGAGGCUCGAAAGUAUGGGUAGCAAACAGGAUUAGAUACCCUGGUA